rnacentral:rRNA from 1 species
CGUGAAUUCAUCUCCGGGGGUAGAGCACUGUUUCGGCAAGGGGGUCAUCCCGACUUACCAACCCGAUGCAAACUGCGAAUACCGGAGAAUGUUAUCACGGGAGACACACGGCGGGGGCUAACGUCCGUCGUGAAGAGGGAAACAACCCAGACCGCCAGCUAAGGUCCCAAAGUCAUGGUUAAGUGGGAAACGAUGUGGGAAGGCCCAGACAGCCAGGAUGUUGGCUUAGAAGCAGCCAUCAUUUAAAGAAAGCGUAAUAGCUCACUGGUCGAGUCGGCCUGCGCGGAAGAUGUAACGGGGCUAAACCAUGCACCGAAGCUGCGGCAGCGACGCUUAUGCGUUGUUGGGUAGGGGAGCGUUCUGUAAGCCUGUGAAGGUGUGCUGUGAGGCAUGCUGGAGGUAUCAGAAGUGCGAAUGCUGACAUAAGUAACGAUAAAGCGGGUGAAAAGCCCGCUCGCCGGAAGACCAAGGGUUCCUGUCCAACGUUAAUCGGGGCAGGGUGAGUCGACCCCUAAGGCGAGGCCGAAAGGCGUAGUCGAUGGGAAACAGGUUAAUAUUCCUGUACUUGGUGUUACUGCGAAGGGGGGACGGAGAAGGCUAUGUUGGCCGGGCGACGGUUGUCCCGGUUUAAGCGUGUAGGCUGGUUUU